AUUGAACGCUGGCGGCAGGCUUAACACAUGCAAGUCGAGCGGAGAGAGGUAGCUUGCUACUGAUCUUAGCGGCGGACGGGUGAGUAAUGCUUAGGAAUCUGCCUAUUAGGGGGGGACAACAUUUCGAAAGGAAUGCUAAUACCGCAUACGUCCUACGGGAGAAAGCAGGGGAUCUUCGGACCUUGCGCUAAUAGAUGAGCCUAGGUCGGAUUAGCUAGUUGGUGGGGUAAAGGCCUACCAAGGCGACGAUCUGUAGCGGGUCUGAGAGGAUGAUCCGCCACACUGGGACUGAGACACGGCCCAGACUCCUACGGGAGGCAGCAGUGGGGAAUAUUGGACAAUGGGCGGAAGCCUGAUCCAGCCAUGCCGCGUGUGUGAAGAAGGCCUUAUGGUUGUAAAGCACUUUAAGCGAGGAGGAGGCUACUUUAGUUAAUACCUAGAGAUAGUGGACGUUACUCGCAGAAUAAGCACCGGCUAACUCUGUGCCAGCCGCCGCGGUAA
rnacentral:rRNA from 1 species